rnacentral:lncRNA from 1 species
UUACAGUAGGGUAGACACACCUUCCAUCUCAGAACCUUUGUUGCAGUUAAUUUACAAACCACUGAAGUUAGCACAGGAAACACUAACCUUCCCUUAUUGAGUGUUACUGAAACAUUCUCUCUUGAGUGAGAAGGUGAGUCUGUGUCCAAGUGUUUUUAAAGAUUUGUAGAGAAACAGGAUCCAAUGAGAUGAUGGUUAAAAGUUUUUUUUCAUUCCAGAGGAGAUACAGUUCAGUGGUUAGGAACACUGCUGGUCUUGCAGAGAACCCAGGUUCUGUUUCCAUAACUCACAACUGUCUCUAACUUCAGUUCCAAGGAAUCUGAUGCCCUUUUCUGCCCCCUCAGGUGCCAGGCCAUGUACAUGGUACACAUAUACAUGUGCAGGCAAAAUACUUGUAUAAAUAUUUUUAAAAGUUUUCUCCCCAGAAGUAAAGUUUUGAUUUGACCGAGUUUCAAAUUGAAAUUGCAGAUCAUGUAAUAAUUGCUUCUCUAGUAGAAUAAAAUCCAAAUUUUACUUCUAGAAGUUCAAAUAAUGAAAAUGAAAAAUAGAAAACAAAAUAGGGCAGACACCAUCCUUACUUUCAGAAGAGAGUAGGGUGCUCUUUGAAAUAUAGUGUAGUUAUUUACGUCGACUUCUGUACCUCCUUAAACUUUUAACAAUCAAAAUGAGGCUCAAAAUAAGGAUGCACACAAAACUAAAAAUUACUUACUUAGGAAAACUUGAUGCAAGAAGCAGAUUUCUUGCAGAAUAAUAAAUGGAACGAAAAGAAAUAAGCCAUAUAGUGACGAAAACAAAAUUGUUAAAUACAUCAAUAGAUCAAGUUGGUGUCUCUGUCCCCCCACACACACACACAAUCACCCCUUAUUUUAAAAAUAGAACCAAAGUUUCAGACUGCAACAAAUAUGGAAGAGAGAGGAGUUUAUUAUGUCAAAAAUGCUAUUUUGUUUUGCUCUAUUGCCCAGGCUAGUCUCAAACUUGUAAUACUUCUGUCUCUGCAUUCCUGAAUGCUAGAGUUAUAGGCAUGAGCCACCAUGUCCAGCUUAAGAACACUAUUUUCCUUGUUUACAAGUAUAUCAGCUACACUUGUAACUAUGACACACUAACCAUCUUUAAACCCUCUUGAAGAAAUAUCCUGUAGCUCUACACCCAAGCUGCCUGAGUGAAUUGUACCUUAGAGACAGAGCCACUAGGUCAGGGCCAACAUAGGCAACAAAAAAAAAAGGGUGUGUGGGUGUGGAGUGGGGAUGGAGAAGGCACCCUGGCUUGUCCCUUACUAAUCACCUCACCUUCCUACACUUUCUUCUGUAUAAAUGGAACUAUAACACCCUCUGUAGUACUGGGCUAUUGUUGCUACUUUUCUUAAAUAAUAUCC